UGGCGGAAUGCUUUACACAUGCAAGUCGAGCGGCAGCGCGGGGGCAACCCCUGGCGGCGAGCGGCGAACGGGUGAGUAAUAUAUCGGAACGUACCCCCGUCGUGGGGGGAUAACACAGCGAAAGCUGUGCUAAUACCGCAUACGACCUGAGGGUGAAAGCGGGGGAUCGCAAGACCUCGCGCGAUGGGAGCGGCCGAUAUCGGAUUAGCUUGUUGGUGAGGUAAAGGCUCACCAAGGCGACGAUCCGUAGCUGGUCUGAGAGGACGACCAGCCACACUGGAACUGAGACACGGUCCAGACUCCUACGGGAGGCAGCAGUGGGGAAUUUUGGACAAUGGGGGCAACCCUGAUCCAGCCAUUCCGCGUGAGUGAAGAAGGCCUUCGGGUUGUAAAGCUCUUUCAGCAGGAACGAAACGGUGGCCACUAAUACUGGCUACUAAUGACGGUACCUGAAGAAGAAGCACCGGCUAACUACGUGCCAGCAGCCGCGGUAAUACGUAGGGUGCGAGCGUUAAUCGGAAUUACUG
rnacentral:rRNA from 1 species